GGAAGCGAAGUCCCCCAUUUUCUCCUCCAUUUGCGAUGUGCGGGUUCCCAUCUCCUGCAUUUCUUUUCUUAAGGUAUCGUCUGUUUGCUGCCAUGAGGUUAUUAGUUUGCUGGACAGUGUGUCCAGUGCUUGUGCCAGGAAGGUUUUUGUAAUGUGGUCGGCCUGAGCAUGCUCCGCCAAGGAGAGGCUUGUGUCCGAAUCUCCGUCGCCAUCUUGGGCGUCUUGUGG